CAGUCGCCGCGGGAAUACGUAGGGUGCAAGCGUUAAUCGGAAUUACUGGGCGUAAAGCGUGCGCAGGCGGUUAUAUAAGACAGAUGUGAAAUCCCCGGGCUCAACCUGGGAACUGCAUUUGUGACUGUAUAGCUAGAGUACGGCAGAGGGGGAUGGAAUUCCGCGUGUAGCAGUGAAAUGCGUAGAUAUGCGGAGGAACACCGAUGGCGAAGGCAAUCCCCUGGGCCUGUUCUGACGCUCAUGCACGAAAGCGUGGGGAGCAAACAGGAUUAGAUACCCGUGUAGUCCCUGUCUCUUAUAC
rnacentral:rRNA from 1 species